rnacentral:lncRNA from 1 species
UGAAUGGAAUGUAUAGUAUUGUGCUUGAACUUGGGCAAAUCCCAUAAUGUCAAUGACGUCAAAGCGGGAAACGUAAGAAUAAGAUUUGUUUCUUUUGGAUGAGCUGGAUUAGUCUCUGUAACAAUUUCAGCAGGAUCUUCAUUCCAAACACUUUCCAGAUUUGGCAGCUUCCAUAAAACUAAUGUUUUCAGAGGAGAAGUCACUGUGUUUUGUGGACAUUGGACGUCAAAUAUGGUUUUGAGAGAAUCACAGUUUCGAACUUCGAAGGUUUCCAAUUGAGGUAAUGAAGGAAGCAAAGUGAAGGGGAGUGCAUAUGAUGAAAAGUGACACCCAUCCACAAUCAAGGUUUCCAAGUAACUGAAGCAUAAGUCUGGGAUCUGCACUGAGACACGCCAUAUCUCUUGGAGGUCUGCCCUAUCUCUCAAUUCAAGACUCCGU